AAUCAGGAAAAACAAAAGCAAGAAAAAUGGAAGUGAAUCAAAGGACAACUUUGCAGAAGUUUUUGUUUGAAUACCAAGAAGACUGCUAUUGAAUCAAAUUGUGCAACUACAUCACAUCUUCGACACAUAAUCAUCACGUCUACACACCACAUUUGAAGGCAAAUAAUUUUUCUUUUUCACUAUAUCAUAUCAAAUUUUUUUUAUUUUAUCAUGUAAACUAUGAUUUUUUUAUCUGUUAUUUUUGGUUUAUAUACUCAGAAAAAUCUCAAGAUGAAACAACAGUGUCAUCCAGACAAUAGAAAGGAAAGGCAUGGAACAAAAACAAGAUGUGUUCAUAUAACACUUAAGCAAGAAGAAAUCACCUCGGUUAUGAAUUUAGGAUCUAUGCUCAUAUCAGUUUUUUUCUCUUGUAAAUCGAUGAUGAAUAUAUAUUAAUUAGAUUUAUUUUCAUUUUUGUAAAUGACGAUUUUAAUUACAAUUUAAAUAAAGAUUUGUUAAGAUUUUAAUAGAUACGAAAAAGAUUUUGGCAU
rnacentral:lncRNA from 1 species